ACACAACUUCCUGUUCCCUCAUCUGGGUUUUACUGCAUUAGCUAUUUGAUGAGAGCCAAGGAUGUUGCUGCAUCUGGAGUUGGCUUGUCCGGGCAAAUGUCUGCUAAGACACUUCUUUGUUCCAGUAAGCUUCCAUUUGCUUGUUGCUUCAUUAUUCUCAUCAGGUUGUGCUCUUGAGCAGUCUGCAGACAUGAUUGUCAAGGAAAAUGUGUCCGUCGACCUGAAAUGUUCCCAAAAUAAAACCACUUAUUCUUAUAUGUACUGGUUUAAGCAAGAAAGAAACGAUACACAGCUCCAGCUAGUGAUUUUUUCGGUGGAAGAUAGUGGAGCAAACUCUGCCAUUGAGAACAAAUUUAAAGAGCGCUUCAAGAGUUCUGGAACAAAGAGUUAUUCAUUGCAUCUGAACCUGAAGGCAGCCCAGCUGGAAGACACUGGCGUCUACUUCUGUGCUAAGCAAGAUUACACAGUGAGGCAACUGCUGAGGGAACCAAACACAAACCCCUUCACCGGGGUUCUACAUACAGUGAUCUGUGGAAAGAUGGCGUUUCAGGAACACGCCUAUGAGGACUCUAGCCUUAACCCGGAAAUCUCAGGUUUUGGGGCCUAG